AGUGAACGCUGGCGGUAGGCCUAACACAUGCAAGUCGAACGGCAGCACAGGAGAGCUUGCUCUCUGGGUGGCGAGUGGCGGACGGGUGAGGAAUACAUCGGAAUCUACUUUUUCGUGGGGGAUAACGUAGGGAAACUUACGCUAAUACCGCAUACGACCUACGGGUGAAAGCAGGGGAUCUUCGGACCUUGCGCGAUUGAAUGAGCCGAUGUCGGAUUAGCUAGUUGGCGGGGUAAAGGCCCACCAAGGCGACGAUCCGUAGCUGGUCUGAGAUGAUGGUCAGCACCACUGGAACUGAGACAGGGUCCAGACUCCUACGGGAGGCAGCAGUGGGGAAUAUUGGACAAUGGGCGCAAGCCUGAUCCAGCCAUACCGCGUGGGUGAAGAAGGCCUUCGGGUUGUAAAGCCCUUUUGUUGGGAAAGAAAUCCAGCUGGUUAAUGCCCGGUUGGGAUGACGGUACCCAAAGAAUAAGCACCGGCUAACUUCGUGCCAGCCGCCGCCGUAA
rnacentral:rRNA from 1 species